GACGAACGCUGGCGGCGUGCUUAACACAUGCAAGUCGAACGGAAAGGCCCUGCUUUUGUGGGGUGCUCGAGUGGCGCACGGGUGAGUAACGCGUGAGUAACCUGCCCUUGACUUUGGGAUAACUUCAGGAAACUGGGGCUAAUACCGGAUAGGAGCUCCUGCUGCAUGGUGGGGGUUGGAAAGUUUCGGCGGUUGGGGAUGGACUCGCGGCUCAUCAGCUUGUUGGUGGGGUAGUGGCUUACCAAGGCUUUGACGGGUAGCCGGCCUGGGAGGGUGACCGGCCACAUUGGGACUGGGAUACGGCCCAGACUCCUACGGGAGGCAGCAGUGGGAAAUAGUGCACAAUGGGCGGAAUCCUGAUGCAGCAACGCCGCGUGCGAGAUGACGGCCGUCGGGUUGUAAACCGCUUUCGCCUGUGACGAAGCGUGAGUGACGGUAAUGGGUAAAGAAGCACCGGCUAACUACGUG
rnacentral:rRNA from 1 species